rfam:Chelonia mydas contig52019, whole genome shotgun sequence.
ACACUGGUGGCUCAGUAGUAGAAUUCUUGCCUGCCAUGCAGGAGGUCAGGGUUCAAUUCCCAGUCAAUGCA